CAGUGCCUUAGUUAUUUCACAUGUGUACACACAACAAAUGUCACUUUUUGAUUUUGGUUCAGAAAUAUGAGUAAAAUUUUGUUUUAUCUACACAUACCUUCAGUUGGUUUUUGUACGAAUUGAAAAUGGACUCUUCCCCGUAGUCCAAAAUCUCUUCCAAGACGGCAUUUUUUGAGAUUGUUUUCCAUGGCUUGUCUAUGAAUAUUUCUUUUCCUAAGACACAGGACAGUUGCUUCUGGAUGUGGGACGGAAUUUUUGGUAAAGUGACUUACGCAAUGUUUCAAACGUCUUCUCUAUAUCACAUGGCUCGCCAGAGAAGCGUUUAUAUUUGAAGAUGUCCAUAUCUCCUCUUCACUUAUUAGGCAAGCUAUCUACUGGACAGGCGGAACUUUUUAUGAACUUGAAAGAGUGAUAAUUUUCAAAAUAACAAAUUGAUAAAACAAUGUUAACUAUUGGUUUGAACAAGCAGAUGAUAAAAAAUAUAUUUUCUAAAAAUCUGUUUAAA